CCAACGGUAUGGAUGCUGCCUUUCUCAUUUCUCUCUCGAUGCUCUCAAAAACCGAAUUUAAUGCCCCUGACGCAACCCGCCUGCCCUAUACAUCUCUCUCAGAUCUCUUGCUUCAUCCCACCUGUGAGACUAUCUCUCACUCUGCCCUCUGCUUCCACCCCCCUUUUAAAUGAGCAAAUCUUAGCUGAACAUCAUCCUAAACUGCAGAUGAAAUCUACGCAUCCCUCGGCGAGCCCCCUCUAUCUCUCUCUCUCUCCCUCCCUCCCCCAUAAAAACCCAUCUGGCUCAUGUCCCCCAAACUUCCAUUCUCUCCUCGAUCUCUCUCUCUAAACGAUUCUCAUAUGCUGCAAUCUCUCUCUAAAGUCCAAACUAUUCUCAUGUGCCCUUCACUUCUCUGGUUUCUCUCAGCCUCUCUCUCUACGAAAUCCAUUUCUCAUAGGGCAUCUCAUCUCUCUCUCUCUACAAAACCCUCUCUCCUUGCAGCCCAAUCCCUGUAAUCUUGGUAGCCAUUUGUCACAGACCAUCCCUACGCGAGCUGCGUACGAAACCCAUUUGCUCUCUUAUCGCAGCCCAAUCCCUCUAAUCGUGGCAGCCAUUUCUCACAGAGAAACCCCAUCUCUAUCGUUGCAGGCCAACCCCUCUAAUCGUGGCAGCCAUUUCUCACACAAAAUUGCAAAAGAAGCAGCAACAUUAGAGCCCUCUCUCACAGUAUAAACAUCCAAAUCGCAGAAAUAGAGCUAUUUCCAAAGUCCACUGUAAGAUUUGGUCCCGUAAGAACGUGGGACACGAGCAUUGAUGGUUGACAAGGUGCUCCACAAAAAAUGCGGUAAAUUUUUUCAAAAGAUUCAAGAGCCAUUUUUUUGUUACACGCUCCUUGCUAUAGUUUAAGAGCCAUUUUUUGUUUCACGCUUCAUAGUUGUGGUGAAUGUAGUGAUUGUGUUGUAUGGAAAUGGGGCAGUAAAGAGUCAUUUUUUGGUAAAAUGAAGUUUUGUGAUGGACUUGUCUGGUGAAUCUAGUGAUUGUGUUGUAUGGAAAUGGGGACAGUAAAGAAUCAGUUUUUGGUAAAAUACAGUAUUGUAAUGGACGUGUGGUGAAUGUGGUGAUUGUGUUGUAUGGUAAUGAUUCAAGAGUAAAUACAUGAAGAUGUAAACACAAUGUUUGAAGUCUGGACAUCUGGUUUCUUUC